rnacentral:lncRNA from 1 species
AGCAAUCUUAUUUUUUUAAUUUCAUCACAAAAUCAAGAGAUGAAAGAUGAUCAAAGGAAAAGACAUGGGGCUUGUUAUUAUGCAUCAAUGUUCGUAUGGAAAAUAUUAAUGGCACUUUUGAGUGGAACAUUCUCAGUAUGUUUUUAAGAUUUUUGAUAAAAAUGUUUGGGAAUUUGCAUUCAGGGAAUCAUAUUAAAGGCUCAGAUAUAGUAUACAUAAUGUUAGCUCUAUUAUUUGCCUUAAUUCUGAUACCCUUAACUCUUUUCUUUUUAUCAUUAGGGUUUCUUGAAUUGAAAAAUAUGUUUCUAGCAUUUAAGGUUUCGUGUACAACUGAAGAGAUUAAGUUUACAACAUUAUCUGAAGCACGG